UCCUACGGGGGGGCUGCAGUGGGGRAUAYKSCASAAKGGGCSRAAGCCUGAUGCAGCGACGCCGCGUGAGGGAUGACGGCCUUCGGGUUGUAAACCUCUUUCAGCAGGGAAGAAGCGAAAGUGACGGUACCUGCAGAAGAAGCGCCGGCUAACUACGUGCCAGCAGCCGCGGUAAUACGUAGGGCGCAAGCGUUGUCCGGAAUUAUUGGGCGUAAAGAGCUCGUAGGCGGCUUGUCACGUCGGGUGUGAAAGCCCGGGGCUUAACCCCGGGUCUGCAUUCGAUACGGGCUAGCUAGAGUGUGGUAGGGGAGAUCGGAAUUCCUGGUGUAGCGGUGAAAUGCGCAGAUAUCAGGAGGAACACCGGUGGCGAAGGCGGAUCUCUGGGCCAUUACUGACGCUGAGGAGCGAAAGCGYGGSKAGCGAACAGGAUUAGAUACCGCNGGUAGUCAAAU
rnacentral:rRNA from 1 species